rnacentral:rRNA from 1 species
AGCAGCCGCGGUAAUUCCAGCUCCAAUAGCGUAUAUUAAAGUUGUUGCAGUUAAAAAGCUCGUAGUUGAAUUUCGGGAUUGACACAUCGGUCGUGCCUUAAGGGGUAUGAACUGGUGUAGUCAAUUUCUCACCUUCUGGAGAACCGCGAUGCCCUUAAUUGGGUGUCGCGGGGAACCAGGACCUUUACUUUGAAAAAAUUAGAGUGUUUAAAGCAGGCAUUUUGCUUGAAUACAUUAGCAUGGAAUAAUAAAAUAGGACGGCAUGAUUCUAUUUUGUUGGUUUCUAGGAUCACCGUAAUGAUUAAUAGGGAUAGUUGGGGGCAUUAGUAUUCAAUUGUCAGAGGUGAAAUUCUUGGAUUUAUUGAAGACUAACUACUGCGAAAGCAUUUGCCAAGGAUGUUUUCAUUAAUCAAGAACGAAAGUUAGGGGAUCGAAGACGAUCAGAUACCGUCGUAGUCUUAACCAUAAACUAUGCCGACUAGGAAUCAGACGAUGUUAAUUUUUAAUGUACUCGU